rnacentral:tRNA from 6 species
GUCCCCAUAGCUUAACGGAUAAAGUACAGCCCUCCGAAGGCUGGGAUCGAGGUUCAAUUCCUCGUGGGGACGCCG